UUUCUCGAUUUGAGGCUUAUAAGGGUAUCCCACCACCACCGUAUGACAAGAUUAAGAAGAUGCUUAUCCAUGAUGCUCUUAAAUGCAUGAAUAGAGCUUGGGCUGGUCUUGGAGAAGCUCUCGAAAGUAGAAUCGAUAAUAAGAUUCAUGGGUCUGUCUGCUCCUAAGAGCUUGGAGGAUGCACUUAUUACACAUAGUGGGAGUACCACAAGAACUCCUGAUCCUGGUUCUGCAAUUUGUGGCCGAGAAGACUUACCAAAAGAUCAGUUCUUGCAUAUUUUAAUUGCUGGAAAGUGCUUGAAUUUAAUGGAUGUCAAGCCAUGGGAAUAGGGUUGGCAAGUCAGAUAUGGGAAAGCUUUUAGGAUACUGUGAGGAGUGUCAAAGGGAACGCCUUACAUGGGGAGUGGCAUAGGCUUAGACUUUGAAGGUCAGUUGCAACCAAUGCUGCCUGCAAGCUAAAUGUGGUGUUGUGAUUGGCUCUGCAAUGGGUUAGUUAAUCAACAAAGAUCCCAAUUCUUGUCAAUGCUUGUGUGUUUUGAUUCUGUUUACUAUUUCUUGUAGUAAACGAGAAUGGUCUGCCAGUACCACACACUACUACUGACCAAGGUGUGGGUUGUUCAGUAAUUGUUGGCUCGGUUCAUCAUCAUCCGGCAAGAUAUCAUUUUGCUGGUUUGCAGUUGUAUUUAUGAACCUUACGACUUGGAUAUAUGACUUGUAUGAAUUCUAACUUGAUUAUUUAGUCAAAACUUGAUUAUUUAGUUUCUUUUGUGAUUUUGAACCCAAGUGUAAACUGAAUUCAGUUAUGAUUUG